GAUGAAGAAUGCAGCGAAAUGCGAUAAGUAAUGUGAAUUGCAGAAUUCAGUGAAUCAUCGAGUCUUUGAACGCACAUUGCGCCCCCUGGUAUUCCGGGGGGCAUGCCUGUCCGAGCGUCAUUGCUGCCCUCAAGCACGGCUUGUGUGUUGGGCCGUCGUCCCCCUCCUAGGGGACGGGCCCGAAAGGCAGCGGCGGCACCGCGUCCGGUCCUCGAGCGUAUGGGGCUUCGUCACCCGCUCCGUAGGCCCGGCCGGCGCUUGCCGACGACCAUCAAUCUCUUUCUCCAGGUUGACCUCGGAUCAGGUAGGGAUACCCGCUGAACUUAAGCAUAUCAAUAAGCGGAGGA
rnacentral:misc_RNA from 1 species